GACGAACGCUGGCGGCGUGCUUAACACAUGCAAGUCGAACGCUGAAGCUCAGCUUUUGUUGGGUGGAUGAGUGGCGAACGGGUGAGUAACACGUGAGUAACCUGCCCCCUUCUUUGGGAUAACGCCCGGAAACGGGUGCUAAUACUGGAGAUUCACUGGUCUUCGCAUGGGGGUUGGUGGAAAGGGUUUUUCUGGUGGGGGAUGGGCUCGCGGCCUAUCAGCUUGUUGGUGGGGUGAUGGCCUACCAAGGCUUUGACGGGUAGCCGGCCUGAGAGGGUGACCGGUCACAUUGGGACUGAGAUACGGCCCAGACUACUACGGGAGGCAGCAGUGGGGAAUAUUGCACAAUGGGCGCAAGACUGAUGCAGCGACGCCGCGUGAGGGAUGGAGGCCUUCGGGUUGUGAACCUCUUUCGCUCAUGGUCAAGCCGCAACAAUGGUUGUGGUGAGGGUAGUGGGUAAAGAAGCGCCGGCUAACUACGUG
rnacentral:rRNA from 1 species